rnacentral:rRNA from 1 species
GAUGAACGCUGGCUGCUUGCCUAAUACAUGCAAGUCGAGCGAACGGACGAGAAGCUUGCUUCUCUGAUGUUAGCGGCGGACGGGUGAGUAACACGUGGAUAACCUACCUAUAAGACUGGGAUAACUUCGGGAAACCGGAGCUAAUACCGGAUAAUAUUUUGAACCGCAUGGUUCAAAAGUGAAAGACGGUCUUGCUGGCACUUAUAGAUGGAUCCGCGCUGCAUUAGCUAGUUGGUAAGGUAACGGCUUACCCCGGCAACGAUGCAUAGCCGACCUGAGAGGCUGAUCGGCCACACUGGACCUGAGACACGGUCCAGACUCCUACGGGAGGCAGCAGUAGGGAAUCUUCCGCAAUGGGCGAAAUCCUGACGGAGCAACGCCGCGUGAGUGAUGAAGGUCUUCGGAUCGUAAAACUAGGUUAUGAGCGAAGAACAUCUGUGUAAUUAACUGUGCACAUCUUGACGGUACCCAAUCAGAAAGCCCCGGCUAACUACGUG